ensembl:lincRNA Gm3764 predicted gene 3764
AAGCUUGGUACAGGAACUUCGAAGGUUUCUCAAGCUGCAGGUCAUGGCUACCUGUGUUUCUUAGCACUGGCCUUGACUUGGCUACCACAGGCUUUUGUCUCAGUUUAUCUGCCCUGGCUGAAACCCAAAUGAUCCUGUCUCCAGCUCCAUAAGAGCAAUCAGAGGUCCCCCAAAGUCUCUGUCUGCUCCCUAGAGUCAUGGGCUGCUUCUUGUUCUGUGCUCCACACAGGCUUCCCUCCCUCCCAGUGCUGAUUUCCUGUGGACCAGAUUCCAGCACAGUGGAGGGCCAGAGCUCAGGGAACAGACCCAGCAGCACAGCAAGUCUCCAAGGAAAGCUCUAGCAGUCUCCAGGGGCUGAAGGCAGGACUGGGGAAGCGGCUAGCCAGGCUGCAGAAGUCAAAUGCUCCCAGACGGCUGUCCAGCACGCAUCCGCCUUCCUAGCCAAGUUUCCUGGGCUCCUGCCACAGAUCUAAGCCUCAUCCUGACAUCUUGCCCUCUGUGCUCUGGGAUGGCCCAGGGGAGAUGCUUAGCCUUGGCUCCUUGUCUGCUGGUGGAGGGGACACACACCCUUUCUGGACCACAGACCAAAAAGAAGACCCGACGUCAUCCUGAGCACCCCCGCCAUGCAGAGUGUGUUCGCAGACUGCCAACAGGCUGGCUCCGGCCAGCAGAAGUGAACAGAGGUGGAGGUUCAGCCUGACAGCUUCUCCCCAAAGCCAUGGAGAGAAAACCUUACCACCCCCACCUCCCAGCUACUUCCAGCAAGUUGUCCAGCCUGACCCCUCUAUUUCCCCUGUUGUCUAUUAGCUGGGUCCCCGAGACCCACCCCAUCUCCAAUAAAGAACAUUGCAUACUGCG